rnacentral:misc_RNA from 1 species
AAUUAUGCACAUUUGUUGCCAUGACUUAUCAGAGGGAGAUUUGGCUGGAAAAGCAUUAACGGGCCAUUAAGCUCUAAAAUAGAAAGAGUAGGAGGUUCAGCACACUCAGAGGAAAAGGUGGAAAAUCUGAUGUGCCAGAGGCAGAGGAUGUCAGUGAAGUCUGCUUCAUUUUAUUUAUGGCGAGCAUUUUGUUAUUUCCUCUGACUGUAGCUUGUGAGAAUUUUGGGUUAAUUUGCGCUGCUUUUUUAUUAGAUCUCCGAGUUUGAA